AAGCUUCGGGAUUCAGGUUCUCCAGUUGAUUGCGUUGUCUAUGAUGCAGUUCUUCCGUGGGCUCUUGAUGUUGCCAAGAAGAAUGGAGUCUCUGGAGCUGCUUUCUUCACCCAAUCGUGCGCUGUAGACAACAUUUACUACCAUGUUUAUAAAGGGAUUGUAAAGGUUCCUGUUGAAGAGACUAGAAUCGCAAUUCCUGGAUUACCUGAUCUUGAGCCUGCUGAUUUGCCCUCCUUUGUUACCAAGCCUGAAACUUACCCAGCAGUUGUUGAAAUGAUUAGAAAUCAGUUCAUCGAUAUUGAUACAGCAGACUGGGUACUUUUCAACACGUUUUACAAGUUGGAAGAAGAGGUUUGCAAUAAUAUUUCCUAGCCCAUUUCUUUAACUGUUUCACUAUUUUCUAUAUCCUGAGUGUUCCUGACCAUCUUAUACUUUAGGUACGCAAGAAAAUCAAGAUUUAUGCAGCUUAUGCAGAAGGAUAAUGUAGUCUGUUAACUAAUUAACUUCACUGAUUCAUGUUCUAUAUAGGUCAUUGACUGGAUGAAGGGACUGUGGCCGGUGAGGCCAAUUGGACCAACAGUACCUUCCAUGUACUUAGACAAGAGGGUCCAAGACGACACGGAUUAUGGUCUCAACGUCUUCAAGCCAAUGGCUGAAGCUUGCACAAAAUGGUUGGAGGGAAAAGCAAGCAAAUCUGUAGUUUAUGUCUCGUUUGGAAGUCUAGCCUCACUUGAUGCUGAGGGAAUGGCAGAGUUGGCAUGGGGAUUAAAAAUGACAGGGAAAUAUUUCUUGUGGGUAGUAAGAGCUUCAGAGGAAUCAAAACUGCCAAAAGAUUUCAUUAACGAAACAUCAGAGAAAGGAUUGAUAGUUUCAUGGUGCCCGCAGCUGGAAGUUUUAGCAGACAAAUCUAUUGGUUGUUUUGUCACGCACUGUGGAUGGAACUCAACUUUGGAGGCACUAAGUUUGGGUGUUCCAAUGGUUGGAAUGCCACAAUGGACAGACCAACCCACCAAUGCUAAGUAUGUGACGGAUGUUUGGAAAAUGGGAGUCAAAGCUGAACCAGAUGAGAAGGGGAUAGUGACAAAAGAAGAGAUAGAGAACUGCAUUAGACAAGUCAUGGAGGGAGAGAGAGGAGAGGAGAUUACUAGAAAUGCCAAGAAAUGGGUGGAAUUGACAAGAGAUGCAGUUGAUGAGGGUGGGACGUCUGACAAAAACAUUGACGAAUUUGUGUCCAAAUUGGUUUCCCCUUAAAUUAUUUUGGCGUAACUUGUGACACGGUACUAGACCCUUUGCUUUAUGUGUUUCUUCUUUUUGUUUUUGUCAAUUUUUUUUUAUGUGUUUCCGAAUGAUCCAAGUUGGAUGCUUCUUUUGUGAUCUAGAUUUUGUAAAAUUCAUAUCCUUACUUAUGGGGUGAUAAAGAGGAACCAACCCAAUAACAGUGGGUUUUAUUGUGGCAUGAAAUUAAGGGAAGGAUUGAGUUUUUCUCAACUUUAAUGAUUAUUGUUAACUAUGAAAUGCAAUUCCCAAACAUAACAGAUAAUUAUUGUUGUCUUGGAAUUGGUAUUCAAGUGUAUUGUUGUUAUACUAGCGUAUAUAUUUAUUGAGCCAAUGCUUAUAUUAUGGGUAGUAUUGUUGUGAGAGCACAUUAUAUGGGUGCCAGAGCAACUUUGCUCACCAAGAUAAAAAUGUUACUUCUAGUCAAAGCUUUCUUUACUAACAAUUUAUUGUGGGGUCUACAUCUCCUAUCUUGUCUCCAAGGAAAUUAUAUUGACGAGUUUCUAACCUAUAUUCUAGAUUUUAACCAAAUUCACUCAUUUACUACAAGUAUACAGGUCGUGCCUUGUUGUAUUAGGGACUUAGGAUCAAUGUCAAGAGCAUCACUUCCAACUACAAAGGCUUUUAGCUCAUUGUAUUAUCUAAACUAAUCAAGAAUUUUAACAAAAUAAAAUAACCACAAUGCUAAAACAAUGCAAAAAAAAAAAAAAAUUAACAACUUGAAGAAAUUAAACUAAAAACAAAUGUCUUAGCGUAUAGAAUCCAUUAAAUGUACCUAACUAUGGAUGAAAUAUGAAUUAUCACUAAUGCACUUGUCUUGCUAAUGAUGCAUUUUACUCGAACCAUUGGAACUCACUCUCGCCAAUGAACAGAAUCUAACCAAUACUAUAGUUUCCUUCCUUUCGUAGUGAAAUCACAAGUAAAGAUUUAAUCUAAAUCGAGAAAUGCCAAAAACAUCCAUCUAAGUGUACUACUACUUUCAUGUGCCUACUCCUUAAGUUCCACCUAUUCCAUUUUCGUCAUUGUCAACUAUUUUCAUAAAUUAACAACUAUCAUGGCUUGCAAAUGGUGAUCAAACAUUCACAAGUGUUGAAGCAAAAAUAGAUGAACUAGCAAGUACAACAUAUAGCAAUAAUCAAUUUUAUUCAACCAUAAUCAAUGUACGAAUAGUUGCAUCUAUCCCUAGAACAAGAAGAUUUAGGUAGAUAUAGAGAAUUAAGAAUAAAUCUCAAAUCUUCAAUGUAACUAAGUAUUAAUGAAACAAUAAAGAAAGUAAAGAGGUACCAAGACUUGUGCCUUUAAAAAGUAAAUAUUACAAUAAAAAAUUCAACUAUAUUUUCUCUCAUGCUCUAGGGUUACCUCUUGCUCUUUAGGCUUUCGUGCAUGGAAGCCCUUCAGCCUAGGGCUGAGGGGCAGCCUCCUUCACCAGCAAAGAAGUCGUUCUCGUUACUGUUUUCGAAUUCUGUCCCUUCUUCGAUUGAGAUCAAGACUCCAACUAGGGUUCGCCAACUCGGCCGAGUCAUAACCGGAACGGCAGGUGCCGUUCCGAUACCGAUACCCGAAACGCCGAUUACACCAUAUCCGAUUUGAGUCGCUUCGAAUCAGCCGAUAUCCUCCGAAUUAGCACCGGGUAGCAAGAUAACAGCCAAAUUCUCGGAUUCGACUACGAAUAUGUACUGGUAAACAAGUUUAAAUAGCAACUGGGAAGCCAAAACCAAACAAAAAAGGAACCGACACCAAAGGACACAAAAGGCAUCACACCAUAGCUAGCUACGGCUGUUGCAGAGCCUUUUACGAAACCAAACAAAACUACAAUUACCAAAGGUGGUCCACAUGGUUGUUGCAGUCUUUUCCCAUGCUUUAUUGUUUCAUUUUUCAGCCACAAAGACAAGCUUUAGGGAAAAGUGGGGAUAAAGAGAACCAUACCAGCAAUUCCUCCGUAAUCCAUCACUAGUUUUUGAGCUUCACUCUAGAAUAAAGGUGACGGCCGGUUGGAGAAACAAGCCGAUCGGUUCUUCAAUUUCUUCAUCGUCCAGCUGCGGCUCAUAUCUGUUGACGGCCGGCUCACAUCUGUCAUCGUCCGGCUCACAUUUGUUGACGGCCGGCUGCGGCUCACAUCUGUUGACGGCUCAUAUCUGUUGAUGGCCGCUCAAAUUUCCAUUGGAGUAUUUUGUUCAAUGAGCCGGCUCUUCAAUUAUAGAAAGGGAAAGCAAAAGAAAGAGUAAAGGUGACGGAGGUGAAAAAGUGAGAAACGGAAAUUGGGAAAAAAAUGAAGGGAAGAGUCAGAGGAAGAUAUGACUAAAACAGAAGGGAAAACUCCAGUGAGGUGCGGCUGCACUAAACAGAAGAUGGGCUUUUGUACCGAAGCCAACCAUUGGGGAAAAAAUUGAAGGAAAAAUUAGAAGCACGUAAAGUCCAGCUUUGGCCCAAGUAAUUAAGAGAUUAGGCUCCUAAUCUUAAACCCAAGCAUCAGUCAAAAGGUCCGCAUCUUCUUUCAAAAUAACUUAUCAAUUUUAAUUUUUUUAAUUUAGCAUUCAGAUAUGAUAUUUAGGUAUUUGUAAAUUUAAGUAAUGCAUUUUGACAUUUUUUACAUAUUAUUAAGUAUAUGAUUAAUUUGUAUUAGUAGUCUCUUAUCUAAAUUUUAGUUAGAAAAUAUGUAGUGAUUAUUUGGAUACAUUUUAAUGAUCAUAAAUGUAAUUUAUUUAUUUUCAUGUAUCUCAAUUAUGUUGGUUAAAAUGAUUUUAGGUAAAUUAAUUAGAAAAAGUAAAAUAAAAAAAAAGAGUUUGUUGCAGUUAGUUAAACAAAAAAUUGAAUUGGGCAAAUUGUCAAAGUAUAAAUUACCUGGCAUAAUUAAACUUGAUUAGAAAAACAUUAAUAUAUUUAGAUAAUAACAAAUUUUAUUAUUAUCGAAAUAAUGCAAAUUACCUUGCAUAAUUAAACUUGAUUAGAAAAAAUUUAAUAUAUUUAGAUAAUAAAAAAUAAUUUUAUUAUUAUCUAAAUAAUGCAUAUUACCUUGCAUAAUUAAACUUGAUUAGAAAAAAUUUAAUAUAUUUAGAUAAUAAAAAAAUUUAUUAUUAUCUAAAUAAUGCAUAUUGAUUUGCAUAAUUAAACUUGAUUAGAAAAAAUUUAAUAUACUUAGAUAAUUUUCAAAUAAUUUUAUUAUUAUCUAAAUAAUGCAUCAUACCGUGCAUAAUUAAACUUGACUAGAAAAAAAUUAAUAUAUUUAGAUAAUAUAAAAUAAUUUUAUUAUUAUCUAAAAAUGCAUAUUACCUUGCAUAAUUAAACUUGAUUAGAAAAAAUUUAAUAUAUGUAAAUAAUAAAAUUUUUUAUUAUUAUCUAAAAAUGCAUAUUACCUUGCAUAAUUAAACUUGAUUAGAAAAAAUUUAAUAUAUUUAGAUAAUAAAAAAUAAUUUUAUUAGUAUCUAAAUAAUGCAUAUUGAUAUGUUUAACAUCACAUCUACAAUUAUUUAAUUAAUGUAGGGACAGUAUAAAAUGGCUCCAAAUCAAGACUGUCGCGCCCCAUUUUUCGCGAUGGAAAAGAAAGUGUUUAUAAAAAGAUGUGAUUUAUUAAUAAUAAAUGAAAAAGGACCUAGAAUGGACUUAAAAAAUGCGACAAUUUGGGUCCGAAAUUUAGUCUAAAAAGGGUUUUUAAGAAAAAGUAGGAGUCGCCACUUGGUAUUGAAUUUUGGUGUACCAAGUCACCCAAAAAAUAUUUUUUGACAAAAAAAAAAGAUAAAUCAAAACCCUUUUUGACAACUCCAGGUCUUUGAAAACAAGAGAAAAUGGAUUCGGGAGUCACGGUUGAAGAAAGGGAAGGCAAAGGUUCGAUUAACUCAAACCUAAGGCACCCUUUCAACCUAGUCUAAACUAGUUGCGAGGUUUAGUCAAAAUUUUCCUAAUCUAACCCUUAAUUUUAUCUUAUUUGGAUGUUUCCUACAUGAAUGCAAAUCUAAAUUUAAAAAUAUCGAAAGGGACAAAAUGUUCAUUCAAGGGUUUAAUUGAACCAAUCACAUUAAUUGCGAAGGCCAAAAUGAUUCGUUGAAAGUGUCACGAGUAUGCAAAUGAUGAAAAGGAAAAGAAUGUUAAAUAAUAUAUAUAUAUAUAUAUAUAUAUAUAUAUAUAUAUAUAUAUAUAUAUAUAUAUAUAUAUAAGUGACCAAAGAAUAGGAAUGCAACAUAAUGGGUACGGGAUACAAAAACUCGUGAUAAAAUUUUCUUAUACAAGGAUUAAUGGGGUAUUUAAAUUAAAAAGUUAUAAUCACCCAUAUCCAUGUUUAGAGAAUAAUUCUCCUAAUAUGAACAAGCAAAUGAACUAAUUUAAAUGAGAUGCAAUUCAAAAUGACAUGAUUAGCACCUAUAGAGGGUACGGGAUAAUAUAAUAAGGAAUAUCAUACAAAUGAGAAAAGAUCCUAAACAUGAAAAUAUGCAUGAAAAUGUAGUGAAUAGCACACAAAGAUGAAUCUAGCGCAAGACAACCUAAAGGGUCUAGCGUUGGACUAACCCAUUUCUAAAAAUCCUUACUAGUGUUGGACUAGCAAGAAAGCGAAGGGAGAAACCACAACUAGCGUUGGACUAGUGAUGACGUCAUGCAUUAACAAUUCAUAGUGAAACAAAUAAGGCAUAAAUUAAAACAAAUAAACACAUAAGAGCACGCAGCACAUAACACGUAAACAUAACAUCUAGAUGCCAAAAUCCUAAGAAAAGCGGAUAAAUAUAUAGCACGUAAGCCACAUAAACACACAACCUAUCUAUUACAUCAGGGAGCCCAACUAUAAUCUAAAAGGGGAAAAUAUAAUGAAACAAAUAUAAUUAUCCUAUCUAUUACAUUUUUGAGGUAUCUAAAUGCCUCUCGAAUAAUUAUAAAAAUUAACUAAACAAUAUAACAUAAGAAAAUUUAAAUGAACAUUUAAAUUCAAUAAAUAAAGCAUAUAAAAAUAUACAAACACAUAGGAACACAUAGGAGCACAUAAGAGCACGUAAUUGACAUUGAAAUAAUAAAAAUAGGAGUACCUCCCAUUUGAAGUGGUGACUAAAUGGAGUCAAAUUGUUCUAUUUAUACUCACAAUGAAUGAAAGAAUCAUGGCACCAAUUUAAAAAAAUAAUAAUAAAAGUACUAAAUACACACUAAUAUGUCAAACAUAAAGAAUUUUAAAACAUCUAAAAAUUAUAAGUUGAAUAUGUUCAAAAGUAACAUAAUUAGUUAUUAAAGAAAAGGAACAAUCAUAAUAAAGAGAGCCAAAAUUUACUAAGGACUGAAUUGCAAAGAUUGAAAAACUUCUGGGGACAAAAAUUAUAUUUUUCCAAAGUUCAGGGGUCAAAAUUAAAUGAAAGAUAAAAUUUAAGGACCUAAGUGAAAUUAAUUUAAGGACCUAAGUGAAAGGAAUUUAAAAUGUUCUGGGCCACAAUAAAACUACUCCAAAGAUCAGGGGGCUAAAGUGCAAAUUUGCUAGCAGGUCUUCUUAAGAAAACAGGCCACUGGGCCAUUCUCUAUUUUUUCGGGCCAAAGGCCAUCCGGCCCAAACGAAAGUUCAAGCCAAAAUACACAGGCCAGCCCGUCAUCUAUCACUCAGAUCCAACCAAAAUAAAGGCAUGGGCUCUGACCUUCUAGCCCAACCUAAACCCAAAAGAAAUAAAUCAAAACCCAACCAAAACCCAAUCAAAACUAACUCUUGGCCCAACCGAAGAUAAAACAUUAGCCCAAACCACUUUUUUUCUUUUCUUUCCUUCUUUUCUUUCUUUUCUUUUCUUUUCUUUCUUCUUCCUCACCGUUUCUUUAUCUCCUUUCUUCGGCCAGCUGAAGCUCCUCGCCACCGCCAACCAUAGCUGAUAUGGUGGCUGCCCGCGCCGCCACCACUGGUCGCCGGCGAAUUUUUGCCGAUCACAAAAAAUUAUCAAAAUACACACCCCAACUCGAUUUUUCGCGUAGAAUCCAAUUCCGGAGUUAGUUUUUACAAAAAAAUGAGCCGAAAGUGGUCAAAAUGCCAAGAAAUCAGUUCAGUUUUUAUUUUUUAAAAACCCUCAAAUCUUCACCAAAAAUCAUAAAAAUUAUGCCAAAACCCUCCUUGCAACUUCUAAAUUACAACUAUGAUUUUAAUUUGACAAGAAAACAACAUAAAAAGGCUAGAAUAAAGCAAAACAGACCCCUAAAAUUCUUUUUUUUUUCAUUUUGGCAUUUUCACAAGCACUUGACAUGCAUUCAUGGGCCCGUUUCUUUUCCUUAAUUCUGUGCAUGACUUGUCCCAAAAACUCAGCAACCCAACAACCAAGGAAACCAGCAAAAGCAAAAGAAAAUUAAACAAUGAAGCAUGGAUUUAAUGUGCUAAACAAAACUAAAAAAAUUACCUCAAUGUAGGUGGCAAUCCCUUGGUUGAAGUUUUGAUGAAAUUUCCAAGCCUUGACCGAUAGCUGCCUUUUCCCUUUUUUGUGUUUGGAUUUUGUGGAAGAAAAUGUGUAGAUGGAGCCCUUUUUUUCUUUUGUUCCUCUUGUCUUCUUUCUUCUGCCCAAGUCCGAGAGAGGGAUAGAGUGAGGUGAGGAGCUUUUCUCUUUUUUUUUUUUUCUUUUUUCUUUUUUUCGGUUGAGACCAAAGAAAGAGCCAAGAGCCUUCCUUUUUUUUUUGUGUGUUUUUCCCCUCCUGUUUCAAGAGAGAGCCGAGAGAGUCAGGAGUGCCCUUUUUUUUUUGUUCCUCUUGUCUGAUGAGGGAGAGAGCCGAGAGAUGAAAUUGAGCCAAAAAGGUGGAGUGUCUUUUUUCU
rnacentral:lncRNA from 1 species